rnacentral:lncRNA from 1 species
UCCAUUUGUUUCUUUCCUUUUUCAAAUCAGCCUCUUUCUUCUACAUACAUCUGAACUCUACGGACGGGAUUCCAUCACCUUAAUCCCUGCUUAAAAUUAAGAGCCUCCCCUAAUUAAUGAUGUUUAGGAUCAGGUCCGCCAGGACUAAUCCGGUUUACAUCAUACUUAACUGGACGUGCUUUUUGCAAUCUUUCUCUUAAAAUUUCUCGACCAAUCUCCAUCACUGUCUCCCUCCUCUUCCCCGAAAAUGCCCCGAGAGGACGACUUUCGGAGCCUAAACAUGAAAGCAAGAUAACAAAGAAACAU